rnacentral:lncRNA from 10 species
AAAAAUUAGCCAAGCACAGUGGCAUGUGUCUGUAGUACCAGCUACUUGGGAGGCUGAGUGAAGAGGGAGGAUUGCUUGAGGCCAGGAGUUGGAGACCAGACUGGGCAACAUAGCGAGACCUCAGCUUGGAAGUAAGGAAGGAAAGAAGGGAGGGAAGGAGGGAUGAAGGUAGAAAGAAACGGGACAAGAUGGACUCCUGAGGCCAUCCUAAUUCUGGAACACAAUACAAUGGCCUCUGUAUGUUAGGAGGGCUCAUUUGGCUUCUCUCUAAGCCAGCAGUCCACAUCUUUUUGGCACCAAGGACCAGUUUUGUAGAAGACAAUUUUCCACGGAUGGGGGCGGGGGGUGGGGGUGGGAGGGGAUGGUUUCGGGAUGAAACUGUUCCACCUCAGAUCAUCAGACGUUAGAUUCUCGUAAGAGGUGCCCAACCUACAUCCCUUGCACGUGCAGUCCACAAUAGGGUUUGUGCUUCUAUGGGAAUAUAAUGCCACACUGAUCUGACAGGAGUCAGGGCUCAGGUAGUAAUGCUCACUCACCUGCCGCACACCUCCUGCUGUGCGGCCGGUUCCCAAUAGGCCAUGGAAUGCUUAUUGGUCCACAGCCCUGGAGUUGGGCACCCCUCUUCUAAGGCAGAAGCUUCUACUGUCUUAGGAGCAGCGUCCUGGCCUCCACAGCAGGGAGAGAGCAGGAAUACCCAGCCACAGAUACUGGUCAAGAUAUUGAUCAACUUCCUACCAUCAUGGUGGAGGCAAGCCUGGAGGCCUCUGGGUGGUCAUCAGGUCACCCCAGCACAUUUUCCUGCCCCGGACUCCUGGCCACGCUGAGGUUGCUGUGAGCAGACACGAUGUGCAGGGUCAUGGAUGUGCAGCUCAAACUCCUUGACAAGCGGGAGAUUUAUUUUAUGGCCCAAGCAGUUUGGAGACAAAAUCGUAAGGUGCUCACCCAUCCAGUGUCUCUUCAGCCGGCACUGGGAGGUGUCAAACUGACCACAUUCGACUGCCCCUUCCGCCCGCAGAAUAUGGGUCUGCGUUUCUCUUUCCCUCUUGGUGGCCAAGAACUGUCAACAUCCAGCUGUGGCUCUGCACUCAGCCGCCGCUCAGCCUGCUCAGGUUGAAAGGUCAAACGUUGUCUGGAAUUGGCAGCCCAGCUUACUAGCAGCUCUUCUGUCUUCAGAGUGCAGUGAGGGGAGCUGUCAGAGGGCUGAGGCAAGGACCAGAGAGGGAACUCCUGCGACAGAGAAAGCUCAGCCCUGGUUAUGUUCUGGAGGGAGCAUAGCAGGGUCUGUCCCAGGAACUUUAUUAGUUAGCGGUUAAGAUCCUCAUCCACAGAAAAGCCGGUAGGAAUUAGCCAGGUGGUGUGUGCCUAUGGUCCCAGCUACCCAGGAGGGUGAGGAGGGAGGACUGCUUGAGCCCAGGAGGUUGAGGCUGCGGCUAGCUAUGAUUGUGUCACUGCGCUCCAGCCUGGGUGACAAAGCAAGAUCCUGACUCAAAAAAAAAAAAAAAAAAAAAAGGAAGAAAGAAGAAAGAGAGAGAAGAAAGAAAGGAGAGAAAGAGAAGGAAGGAAGGAGAAAGGAAAGAAGGAAGGAAGAAAAGGAAGAAAGAAUGACAAAGAAAAGAAAGAAAGACGAAAAGGAAAGGAAAAGAAAAGAAAAAAGAAACAAAAGCAGGAAAGUGAGGGGAGAGGGCCAGGAAGACAGAAGACAGGAUGGGCAAGAAGGGUGGGAAGGAUUCCCACACCAGAUUCAGGAGUGGCUCUGCAUUGGGAAAUCCAUCUACGACUGCUGGGGACUUGGUUUUGCAAACAUGCACAGAGAAACCUUCAUCCACCUCUGUGCAAUGUUGGACUGAAGUAGAAAUGAGCCGCUGUUUUCUGGAAGCACCCCAUUUCUUUGAGCUGAUCUUCUCUAAUAAUGAAUUCUGGUGAAGCCUGCCAUUCACAGCACCCUGCCCUCCCAUCUGUAGGAGGUGGGAACAGGACCCAGGCCAGUUGAUCAGAGAGCUCCCUUGCCCUGGGAUGAGCAUGUGACCCAGAUGUCUCAAUCAUGGGGAAGAUCCUCUUGCCUGUUAUAGCCACUAUGCUGGAAGAACAGGAUGUGGGCUUGCUGGCCGCCAUCUUCCAGUCCACGCUGGGAACCCAUCUGCAGGAGGAGGGAAGGAGGACAACCCAGUUUGAGGGAGCAUAUGGACAGCAGCUAUAGAAGGCUCCAUAUGUGCCCAGUGCUAGAUCCACCCCAUCCCUUCCUGUUCCAUAAAUCCAUACAUCUUCUCUCACUUUUGCUUACCCUAGUUUGAGUUACAUUUCUGACACCUGCCACCAUAAAAGCCCAAAUGAUUACAGAGAAUAUUUGGCUACAGGAAAGACCCUGCAGUCUGUGAAAAAAGAGGCUGCUGGUGCAUAGUCAUCGUAGACCAGUGCAAAGAGUGAAACAGAAACAUCCAGCUUAAUCUGCAAAAGCCUUUUUGGAUCCUUGAGAGGCGCUCAUUAACUUACAGCAAAUUGGUGAGCUGAUACUCUUCUUUCAUCCAGGUGAGUGCAUUAACUAGGUUAAUGUUCCUGUCUCAAGGGACUGCUGUAGGUUAGGGUGAAUGAAUGAAAGAAGCAAGUUUUUAAACAGGAAAAAGGCUGCAGGGAAGUUGAGGUGACAAGCAUCGUUUCACCCCCAAUGGAAGGUGAGCUUGUCUGUUAGGUCCCAGGGACUGAAUUGGAGUUCCGUGGUUAGGGAAUGACCCAUCUCAACAAGCAACUUCCAUCAUCCUUCCAUGGGGAUCUGAUUAAGGUCUUCUCCAGAAGGAGAUGGCCUCGUGAGUUGGGGCUUUUUAAUCUCCCUGUCCCUCCUCUAGAAGGGCAUUGCUACUGGCCUUGCCCUGCCAAGUCUUCAGUCUACAACAACACUGCCCGGCUUCAGACACAGCCCAGAUCCUUCCCAGAUCCUUCCCAGACACAGCCCAGAUCCUUCCCAGACAAAAAGUCCUUCCGACUUUUUGCCCUUUCGGCCCAGCCUUCCCUAUCACUUAUGCUGAAAUUGGGAACGUUUCCCAAACCAACAAUUUCCCAGUCCACAAUGUUCCCUUGCUGAGUGUCCCCACAGGAGAGACAGGCAGCCUGAUAAAUAAAACCAGUCAUAAAACCUCCCUGCCUUAGCAAAGGGACUGCUUUGCCAGGCUACCGUCACAUAGCACUCCUGUCUCCCGUUUGACUUCAUAUAGUGAAAAUUGUCUAAAAGAUAAGGCAGGAGCUCUGGUUGACACCCCCCCUGCCCCCGCCUCAUAGAUCUCUCUCUAGAAGCAUUGGAAGAGGCCGUCUCAAAAAAGAAAAAUAAAAUAGAAGCAUUGGAGGAAAGAUGUGGUUUGUAGUGAAACAAAUUGGAAGUCAAGCUCAGCCUCAACCACUUACUUGCUUCUGACCUUGGCAUGAAGUUGCAGAAGCUGACCUGGGUCCUAACUGUAAAAUGCAGAGGAACUCUAUCCAUGAGGAAGCUUUGUGAAGUCGAUUCAUUGCUAAUGUCCCUUGUCCUGCCCUGUCAUCCAGGAUAGAGUGCCAUGGCGUGAUCAUGGCUUACUGCAGCUUCAACCUUCUGGGCUCAAGCCAUCCUCCUUCCUCAGCCUCCCAAGUAGCUGGGACCACAGGUGCACACCAUCACACCUGGCUAAUUUUUAAAUUUUUGUAGAGAUGGGGGUCUCGCUAUGUUGCCCAGGCUGGUCUCAAACUCCUGGCCUCAAGCGAUUCUCCCACCUCAGCCUCCCAAAGGGCUGGGAUUACAGGUGUGAGCCACCACACCUGGCCUGUGAUUGCUUUUCUUAACAUGGUACUCUGCCAUUAUAUUCUCUAUUAGGAAUUUGAUAUGCUCAGAAGAUAUAGUGAAUUAUAGUUGCCUGUUUACUAACAUCGGGGUCCUUUCAGGUAGUGUCCACCACAGGAAACAUUACUAUUUGGGUUUUGUGACCCAGGAAUCCAUAUUUACCUGGCGGCAACGACACAGCCCUCACCUUUCCAGACCUCAUCUGGUGGCCUUGUAAUCCUGGAGCUGAAGCUGCCUACACACAAGCAAUCGGUCGCAGUGUAUCCGUGCAGGGUCCCAACCCACUCCAGGAUUCAUUUCGGGAUGGCUUCCCCUCCCUCAGCCAGCAUUAGGAAGAGGCCGGGUGCCGUGGCUCACACCUGUAGUGCCAGCGCUUUGGAAGGCUAAGAUGGGCAGACUGCUUGAACUCAGGAGUUUGAGACCAGCCUGGGCAAUGUGUCAAGACCCCAUCUCUACAAGAAAUUUUAAAAUUAGCCAGGCAUUGUGGAAUCCUGCUUUGUGUAGUUCAGUGCCUGCUGCCAAGUCAGAGCUGUGACCUCAAUGAAAGUGGCCCAGCCACAGCAAACCUCAGUUUCCAUAACAGUCCUGGGAUCCAAUGUGGCUUUCACACUACAUGUCACUUCACUCUGUUAUCUCUGACAGAAAACCAACUCAAACUGGCUUAAGCAAAAAGGGUACUCACUGGGCCAUGUAACCAAAAAGUGUAGGCAUACAUGUGGCUUCAGGAAUGGCUGGAUCCAGGCACUCACAUGUGGCAUCGGGAGUCCCUCUCCUGGCUGUUGGUUUCAGUUUUCUCUGCAGGGGUUUCAUUCAAGCACUGGUUCCCUCCUCAUAGUGGCAAGGUGGCUGCCCAGGACAAGAGGCUUAUAGCCACGGGCUCAGCUACUUAAGGAUAAGUUCCAUCAGAAGCCCAAGUUGAGGCCGGGCUUGGUGCUCACACCUGUAAUCCCAGCACUUUGGGUGGCCGAGGUGGGUGGAUCACUUGAGGUCAGGAGUUCGAGACCAGCCUGGCCAACACAGUGAAACCCUGUCUCUACUUAAAAAAAAACAAAACAAAACAAAAAAAAAAACCAUGAAAAUUAGCUGGGUGUGGUGGCACGUGCCUGUAAUCCCAGCUACUUGCAAGGCUGAGGCAGGAGAAUCACUUGAACCUGGCAGGCGGAAGUUGCAGUGAGACGAGAUCACGUCAUUGUACUCCAGUCUGGGCAACAGAACGAGACUUCGUUGGCAAUGACUGGGUCAUCUGUCCAGUCCUGAACCGGUCACUGUGUCAGGUAGAAGCAUUGUUUGAUUGGCCAGGCCUGGGACACACGGCCAUCUCCAGACCUAGGAAUGGCAUCAUCUCUACCCAAACCCCGUGAACCAAGAGUUGGGGAGGAGCAAAGCUUCAGAGAAAACUCUGGGCCCUGUCAUCAAGCAGAGGAGGAAAGGAGGCCACACAGACUGAGACAUCAAGUACCCACUGUGCCCUCACCACCAGCUCCCGCCCUGGCCAGUGCACUCCUGGACCAUCUCUCCUCCCCGUCUUGUUCACAGUCACCCUCUCACCCCAGCAGAGAUCAGGCCAGGGUACUGGUGGCAAGUGAGUGAAGGGUUUCAGCAAGGGGGUCCCCACCUUCCAGGCACAGUGUAAGUGGACCCCCCACACUUGGGGGCUCUCCUGGGUUGCACAGUGUCCUCUGAAAAUUCACAUCCACCUGGAACCUGCAAAUAUGACCUUAUUUGGAAAUGGAGUCUUUGCAGAUGUUGUCAAGAUAAGAUGAAGUCAUACUGUUUUAGGAUGGGCCCUCUAUAUGGCACGACUGGGGUUCUUAUACGAAGAGGGACCCUGGCACACAGAUGCAUACAGGGAGAGUGCUGUGUGAUGAGAAAGGCAGAGAUUGCAGUGAUGCUGCCACCAGCCAAGGAGUCACCAUCAGCCAGGAGAUGGGCAUGGAUCUGAUUCUCCCUGGGAACCUCCAGAAGGAGCCAACCCUGCCAACACCUUGGUUUUGGACUUCUGUUCCCCGCAACUGUGAGACAAUACAUUCUGUGGUUUUAAGCUUUAUGAUAAUUUGUUACUGUAGCCCUGGGAAAGGAAUACAAGGGUAGACAGACACUGAUCAAGUAAGCAAACAAAUGUGAAAUUGCCCUGUGACAAGGGAGGUGCGGGGUGCCUGUGUUGGGGAAGAAUUCUCUGAGACUUGAAGUCAGAGAAGGAGUUAGCUAAUGGGGCCGACAGGGUUCUGCACACGCAGCUCACGGCCCAGAUCUUGUUGGCCAAGUGUUUUUGCAGGGAUUAGGAACUAAGAAUGGUUUUGCAAGAAGAACAUCACAGGCUGAGGGGACAGCAUGGGCAAAGGCCAUGAAGUGGGAGGCGCCCUCUGUGAAACCAACAAGCUUUCAGCCACGUGGGUCUCUCUGACGCGUUGCCUCAGCCACAGAGGGCUUUAAAAAGCCCCGAAACUGGACAGGUGUCACUGCCUGUGGCAGUAGCGGCCAUUUGGCGCCUGUGGUUUCAACUCCACCCGUUUCACAUGUCUAUGUUACCAGACUGGCCCCUGAAGGGGAUCUGUGUGCCAGGCCCUGACCUGCCGGGCUUUGGAAACAUCCUCGACAGUGUCCCCUGACCUGCGCCCCGCCUUGUGGAGUGAGGCCUGGUUGCCCAAGCUGGCUGGGCCGGGCUGUUUGUUGCUUCCAACAAACAUAGGAGAGAACGUAUGGCUGCUUUUUAUUGCCAGUGAGAGUUCCGCGAGGCCUGGCCCGAGAUGUGGCUGGCGUGAGGGGUCCCGGACCUGCUGUGCUGGGGACGCACCCAGUUCUGUGUCGCUUGGUCCAGUGAGGACUCGAGCCCCUUGGAGGCGGGGCCUCGGGCUGCAGGGGCGGGGCCCCGAGCCGCCUGGGGGUGGGGCCUCAGGCUCUUUGGGGGCGGGGCCUCAAGCUGUCUGGGGACGGAGCCUCCGGCCGGCUGGGGGCGGGGCCUCAUGCCUAAGGGGCGGGGCCUCGAGCUUUCUGGGGGUGGGGUCUCAAGCUUCAGGGUCGGGGCCUGGAGCCGCCUGGGGACGGGGCGAUCUGUUGGGGAGGAGGUUCUCGAACUGCUGAGGAGGAUCGCAGUGCUUUUGCUUCCUCUAGGAGACCAGCUGCACAGGCUGGAACAUGCCAUCUCUAUGCCUGUUUUCCCGUCGAUAAAUCCAGAGACAUUACUCUCAUCAUUUCUUCCUCUGUACACAAUAUUCAUAUAUGUAACCCCUUGGUAAAGCAGUUGUAAGAAUUAAACAAGAGGAAUUGCUCUUUCAUUCAGCAAAUAUUUUUUGAGCAGCUACUAGAUGCCAGGCACUGUUUUAGACGCAAGUGAUACUUCAGGAAACAUAAUCAGAC